rnacentral:rRNA from 1 species
UACGUAGGUGGCAAGCGUUGUCCGGAAUUACUGGGUGUAAAGCGCGUGUAGGCGGGAGGCCAAGUCUGCUGUGAAAUCGCCCGGCUCAACUGGGCGGGGUCGGUGGAAACUGGUCACCUGGAGGACGGUAGAGGCGAGUGGAAUUCCCGGUGUAGUGGUGAAAUGCGUAGAGAUGUGGAGGAACACCGAUGGCGAAGGCAGCCUCCUGGGCCAGCACUGACGCUCAUGCACGAAAGCGUGGGGAGCAAACAGG